UCACUCUUGCUGUGUUGCUGUCUUGCUUGAUCCUUCUUUGUGAUUCGUUUGUGUUUUAGCUUUUAUUUUCGGAACUUUAUUAACUACAAACUUGGCUAUUCAAACGGACUCUCGAUUGAUUGCAAUAACGACAUACUCAGCCUGGGAUUUACUGUUUUUGUGUGGCUCGGCCAAGGCUCGGCUGGUGGUUCUAUGGUGUUAGAAAAUGAGCAACUUAAUUAUACACAACAAUGGGCAGCACCUCGAUCGGUUACAGCUCAUGAUCUUAUAUGCACAACAUGUUGGACCCAAGCCCAAGAUACAACACAAAUGCAUCUACUUCAAAUCUUAGCAGAAAAUGUGUGCUUUGCAGUAGAACACUAGAGCCUAGAACACGUUCACAUCAGCUCAUGUCCCUGAGAACUAACACUCAACAUCAUAUUAACAUCAGGAACAUAAUUGUGGAACGACUAACUCCAUUAGAGGUUACUGCAAAUGACUACAUCUGUGGGGCUUGUCACUCAUUAUUGCAAAGAGAUACCACACCUACUUCACAAGACUCUCCAGAUAUGCCAACCGGUGCCCCGGUAGGUCACCAACAAGUUUGUGUUGGAUGUGGUUGUUCAUUAUUGCGAACUUGAAGUCAUUGUUUGGAUACAGAGAAUAAUCAAGAUAUACAGUGUGAGUCACGUUAAAGUGUACAUAUGAAAAUAGAUGAAACUAGACCUAUUUUUAUCGACAAAAAAGAGGUCAAAAAAUUUUUGAGAUUUUUUUUUUAAUUUUUUAUAGAAUUUUUUUUCUUCCAAUUACUUAUUGUAAAGAAAACGUAAUAACUUUUAAA